UGCAUGUGUGUGCGUGUGCGUGCUCAACUGGUGGACAAAGGCAUGAAAGACACAUGCAAAAAUAGAUCCUUCUUUGCAACAGAGUUCACUAUUCAGGAUGAGCUUUGAUACAUAUAAAAAGGACACA
ensembl:snoRNA